UACGGGGGGGGCAAGCGUUGUUCGGAAUUACUGGGCGUAAAGGGCUCGUAGGUGGCCAACUAAGUCAGACGUGAAAUCCCUCAGCUUAACUGGGGAACUGCGUCUGAUACUGGAUGGCUUGAGUUUGGGAGAGGGGUGCGGAAUUCCAGGUGUAGCGGUGAAAUGCGUAGAUAUCUGGAGGAACACCGGUGGCGAAGGCGGCAUCCUGGACCAACACUGACACUGAGGAGCGAAAGCCAGGGGAGCAAACGGG
rnacentral:rRNA from 1 species